rnacentral:rRNA from 1 species
UUGAAUCAUGGCUCAGAACGAACGCUGGCGGCAGGCCUAACACAUGCAAGUCGAGCGAGACCUUCGGGUCUAGCGGCGGACGGGUUAGUAACGCGUGGGAACGUGCCCUUCUCUGCAGGAUAGCCACUGGAAACGGUGAGUAAUACUGCAUACGCCCUUCGGGGGAAAGAUUUAUCGGAGAAGGAUCGGCCCGCGUUAGAUUAGAUAGUUGGUGGGGUAAUGGCCUACCAAGUCUACGAUCUAUAGCUGGUUUGAGAGGAUGAUCAGCAACACUGGGACUGAGACACGGCCCAGACUCCUACGGGAGGCAGCAGUGGGGAAUCUUAGACAAUGGGCGCAAGCCUGAUCUAGCCAUGCCGCGUGAGUGAUGAAGGCCUUAGGGUCGUAAAGCUCUUUCGCUGGGGAAGAUAAUGACUGUACCCAGUAAAGAAACCCCGGCUAACUCCGUGCCAGCAGCCGCGGUAAUACGGAGGGGGUUAGCGUUGUUCGGAAUUACUGGGCGUAAAGCGCGCGUAGGCGGAUCAGAAAGUUGGGGGUGAAAUCCCGGGGCUCAACCUCGGAACUGCCUCCAAAACUCCUGGUCUUGAGUUCGAGAGAGGUGAGUGGAAUUCCGAGUGUAGAGGUGAAAUUCGUAGAUAUUCGGAGGAACACCAGUGGCGAAGGCGGCUCACUGGCUCGAUACUGACGCUGAGGUGCGAAAGUGUGGGGAGCAAACAGGAUUAGAUACCCUGGUAGUCCACACCGUAAACGAUGAAUGCCAGUCGUCGGCAAGCAUGCUUGUCCGGUGACACACCUAACGGAUUAAGCAUCCGCCUGGGG